rnacentral:rRNA from 1 species
GACGAACGCUGGCGGCGUGCUUAACACAUGCAAGUCGAACGGAAAGGCCUGCUUUCCCUUGUGGAUUGCGGGUACUCGAGUGGCGAACGGGUGAGUAACACGUGAGUGAUCUGCCCCCAACUUGGGUAUAAGCCUGGGAAACUGGGUCUAAUUCCCGAUAGGACUGCAGGGUGGUGCCUUUGGUGGAAAACGAUUUUCUAGUGGUUGGGGAUGAGCUCGCGGCCUAUCAGCUUGUUGGUGGGGUAAUGGCCUACCAAGGCGGCGACGGGUAGCCGGCCUGGGAGGGUGGACGGCCACAUUGGGACUGAGAUACGGCCCAGACUCCUACGGGAGGCAGCAGUGGGGAAUAUUGCACAAUGGGCGGAAGCCUGAUGCAGCGACGCCGCGUGGGGGAUGACGGCCUUCGGGUUGUAAACUCCUUUCGACCGCGAGGAAGCCACCUGGUUGGAAGGGUGGUGACGGUAGUGGUAGAAGAAGCACCGGCUAACUACGUG